GGAAAUGACCCUGCGACUCUAAGGGUUGAACAGAUUCUACUGAUGAUGCAUUAGCCCACUGAGCUAUCACACCGACAGACAGAAUACCAGAUGAUUGCUUCUUCCCUAAAUAGUUGAAGGAGGAAAUUGGCUCCAAUCAAGCGCUGUGCAUAGCCUUCCUUCUUUGAUGUCCCUUUUAGCCACUAUAAAUCUCCAACUUUAUCACCACCAAAGCACCUUCAGACCAUUACAUUGCCUCAACCAGAUGGCAUGAAGCACUCCUCCAGCAUCAUUUCAUUUGGACUGUGUCUUACUAGAAGUUCUUCUUUGUGAUCUGUCCAGAACACUUUUUCC